GGACAGGUGGGUGAGUGGCUUAAACCAGCGGUUUGCUAAACCGUCGUCGGAGGAAACUCCGACCGGGGGUUCGAAUCCCCCCCUGUCCG
rnacentral:tRNA from 1 species